rnacentral:rRNA from 1 species
UGGGGAAUAUUGCACAAUGGGGGAAACCCUGAUGCAGCCAUGCCGCGUGUAUGAAGAAGGCCUUAGGGUUGUAAAGUACUUUCGGUGAUGAGGAAGGUACUUGGUCUAAUAGGCCAAGUAAUUGACGUUAAUUACAGAAGAAGCACCGGCUAACUCCGUGCCAGCAGCCGGUGAUAAUGAGCGGAGGGUGCGUAAGCGUUAAUCGAUGGACUAGGGCGUGAAGGCAUGUAGGCGGAUGAUUAAGUUAGGUGUGAAAUCCCCGAGCUCAACUUGGGAAUUGCAUUUAAAACUGGUCGUCUAGAGUAUUGUAGAGGAAGGUAGAAUUCCACGUGUAGCGGUGAAAUGCGUAGAGAUGUGGAGGAAUACCGGUGGCGAAGGCGGCCUUUCUUGGACAGAUACUGACGCUGAGAUGCGAAAGCGUGGGGAGCAAACA